GGAAAGAGGACAAGGAAAUCCUCCUCCUCCUCCUCUUCCUCCUCCUCCUCUUCCUUGUCAUCCUCCAUGGAUAAGAAAAAGAAGAAGAGGAAGAAGACAGAAAAACAUACCCAGAGACCAUUUGGGAAAAGGAUGACAACACCGGAUCAAGUAGUCCAUCGCUAUAAAAGGAUCCUGAAGACAUUCAAAAAAACAAGGAGUGUGUCAGAAUCCUUCAAAAGGAAUGGCGUGGGCAAAAUAACAUUUGCCCUCACGAGCACAUCGCAGAGGUGACAAUUGCCUCGGAGGGGGAGGCCUACACAUUACCUCCACAUGCUGCAGGUACAACCCUGCAGACGUAUGCAAAAACUCUGAAGGCAUUUUUGGAAAGCUCCCCAGACGUCAAGAGGAAAAUCGAUGAGAUGAAGAAGGCAAACAGGCUGUUGCCUGUCAAAAACCAGUUCCGUUGUUAAUUUAUGAUAGAUAUUUUUCAUGUUCCUUUGUGUUGUAGUCCAUGUUUAUCUUUUAAAAGGUUUUUAGUAAGUUUUAAUUUGUGUGUGUUUUGUGGGUUUUGUAUUGUUUCAAAACGUAGCAUAUUAGAUUUUAAAAUGUUCAAUUAUAUAGUAAUUGUUAUUAUUGUUGAAUAAAAUUUUGAUAUUUGUUUACUUUUUCAUUAAAUUAGUUUUGGUAAUGUUUACCUUAACUAGUAGCGCUUUAGAAUACAGCCCGCAUACCCUGUACUUACCCUGUAACUACACGUAACUAUGGGGUAACGAGUAGCGCUUUAGAAUACAGCCCGCAUACCCUGUACUUACCCUGUAACUACAUGUAAUAAGAGGAAAACUAUCACUGCAUAUAUCACUUGUUCUGUAAAUACAGAGAACAAUGUGAGAUGUUUGUUUUCAGAUUCAGAUUCAGAAAACUUUAUUGUCUGUCGUAACAGAAAAUCUUCUUCGACGUGGCUCCACAUACAAAACAAGACAAUACACUGAUUGGAAACACAGAUUCUGAAAGCACACACAGUGUGUAUAGAUCUUAAAAACAAGUCUAAAAUUAAAACUGUAAAAACAGACAAGAUAAAAGGUGUGGAUAUGUGUAAAGUGACAUAGUGCAUCAGGGUUAUUUUUGUCCAUUGUUCAUUGUUUAUUUAAGA